rnacentral:rRNA from 1 species
GACGAACGCUGGCGGCGUGCCUAAUACAUGCAAGUAGAACGCUGAAGGAGGAGCUUGCUUCUCUGGAUGAGUUGCGAACGGGUGAGUAACGCGUAGGUAACCUGCCUGGUAGCGGGGGAUAACUAUUGGAAACGAUAGCUAAUACCGCAUAAUAGUAGAUGUUGCAUGACAUUUGCUUAAAAGGUGCAAUUGCAUCACUACCAGAUGGACCUGCGUUGUAUUAGCUAGUUGGUGGGGUAACGGCUCACCAAGGCGACGAUACAUAGCCGACCUGAGAGGGUGAUCGGCCACACUGGGACUGAGACACGGCCCAGACGCCUACGGGAGGCAGCAGUAGGGAAUCUUCGGCAAUGGACGGAAGUCUGACCGAGCAACGCCGCGGGAGUGAAGAAGGUUUUCGGAUCGUAAAGCUCUGUUGUAAGAGAAGAACGAGUGUGAGAGUGGAAAGUUCACACUGUGACGGUAGCUUACCAGAAAGGGACGGCUAACUACGUG